ensembl:lncRNA
AUAUUCUCUGUAGCAGUGUUUAAAAGCAUGCUGUGUGAUUAUUAAAAUAAUCCAACUUAAAAGCUUGCACUGAAGAAGAGGAGAUUGGAUCAAAGUGCAAAUGUCAUUCUAUGGUGAAAGUCUUGCGCUGUGGUGGUGCAAAGUCACUCAGAGAAACAACUGAUCUGAAGGAUGAAGUGUUUGCACUGCUGGGUGGUGUGUGGCUUAACUUUAGGCCUUGUGUGUGUUUCGUUGUGGAUCUGCAAAAAGUCAACAGCCAGUUACAAAAAGUCAACAAACAAAAGAAAAGUAAAAGAAAAGAAGACCAAGCUGCAGAAACAAGCAGAGAGGACACAAGAAGAGCUGACUGUAUUAUCAGAGCUUAUCACGCUGAUGCUGGAACUGAAGAGGGGAUAUCGCCAGCAGAAAGAAGAAUUCAAACUGUUAGAGGAGAUAAACAAAGAGCUGGUAGAAAACAAGAAGAAACUUUGUCUGGUAGAGAAUGAAAUAGCAAAGAGUGAGAAAGAAAAACAGACGGACAAAACAGAAAGAUACUUGGAGGAAAAACAAAGUCUAUUGAGUGUUCAGCGUAAACUGGAGAAGAAAAAGGAAGAACUAGAGAAUCUACAACUGAACAUGGAGAAACAGCUGCUUCAAACAGAGGAUAUAAUGAGCACGAUGACAGAAAGAAGGACAAAAUUAGAAAACAAUUAUGAGGUGAUCAACUUGCAGCUGGAGGAGGUAGAUUAGUCAGUGAUUAGUAGUGAGAUGAGUGGUGAGAACAAAUAAAUACAUGAUGUACACUGAUUGAUUAACCUUACUUUCUGACGUGGUAUCUUAAAUAAAACAAUCGUGAGCUGCAAAAAAGAAUAAUCUAAGAAAGAUUGCAAUAUUUUGUUCAAUUUAUGAUAAAUUAUAUUCAUGUUGUUUAAGUAAGAAAGUUUGAAAAGAAAGAAAUUAUCUCAAUUGACUAAACAGAGAGAUGGUGCUGGAAAGGAUGCACAGCAGGUCGAGUAAGAAGUAAUAAUGCGUGAAGAGGGUAUGCUGAGAAAAAGGAAAGAGUACUCUGAGGAGAUGAUGAAUGAAGAAAAUGAGAGGGGAUGAUGGGUGGAGGGAAGUGAAGGGAAGGGAAAUGAAUCAGGCAGUGCAGAGGAUUAGUAAGGAGGAAGUUAGGGCAGCUAUGGAAAGACAGUUGGUCGGGACUGCAUACCUGUGGAGGAGGUCUGGUAAAGAGGCCUGUUGAUUUUUUCACUAGUUUUUGUUAACAGUCUUGGAGAGUGACAGGAACCAUGAGGAAUGGAGAAUUGUACUGGAUGAUGUGCAGAGCUGUGGAAAUUAAAAACAGUUAAACUUGAUUAAGAAUAUUUUGUUAAUAGAAAACAGAAAAAAGAACUGCUCAAGCAAGGAAGAAAGCUGAAAUGAACAAAUGUUUAUUUAAAUGAACACAUAAUCAAGAAAAAUGCAGACACCGCAAAACAAGCAAGAACAUUAAGAAAACAGAAGAAAAUACAGUCAACUUGGAUGUCAGAUUGUAAGAUAUUCAUUAAACUAAAUAGAACACCAGAGCAGGGAAAAGUUCUAGUCAUCAAAGAGAUGACGGAACUAGAAACAUAAAACUGAUAAAUCAGAACGCAAAGCAGUGCUAAAUAUGAUGGUACUUGUCUAAGUUGCACAACCAACUCAGAUGUCUGACAGUUUUCAUGUAACAACUCAUAUAUAUAUUGACAAUAGGACAUCGGUGUAUGGAAGCAAUAUCCUGAUCCUGAUUGUAAUUUCUUUAACAAUAAGAUAAAUGAACGCAAUUAUCAUACAAAUGAACAAUUAAAAAGAAAAUAAAGGUAGAAAAGGGUAUAACAGUGGUUCACUUUAAUAGUGGGAGCCUAUAUGCAAACUUUCAAUCCAUCAAAGAAUACAUUACACAAUUUAAACAGCUAUUCAAGAUGAUAGCCAUAUCAGAGACCUGGAUGUGUGUGUAGGUGUGUGUGUGUGUGUGUGGGGUCAGAGUGUGACCCCAUAAAUGACUUCCCUAAACCUGCUGGUCUGGAAGUCCAGCGGUUCAUCUAAACAAAAGGCACUUAGCCUAAAACAGAUAUAGCCACGUUUAUCCUACCAUAAAACAAUAAGAGAAGGUACGACCUCUUCCCAUGCUCCCAGGAUGUAGGUGUGCAUUCCAGUGUGGAAUACACACCAAGCCUUUGCAGCCUGCAAAAGAUCACACAUCCUGUCACUACACAAUUGAUUAUACACCUCUAAGCAUAUAUGGUUAAAUAUUUCUAAGCAUCAAUGACAAUCAACAAUACAAAACCUAACAGUGCAUAAAUUUGGGCACCACAAAAAAAAGAAAUGGAAUAAAUAUUUAGUGUAUAUCAAUGUGUGUGUCUCCUAUAUGAUAUAUAGGGUGCCUUUGUCUGGACGUGCUUCCCAUCCAGAGCUGCACAGCACAGAGGAAAGUUCCAGCGCUCCUGGAAUCCCUCUGUGAUGGACCGCCAGUCUCCAGGUGAAGGCGCAGCCAUGAAGUCGUCCACUAGACAGUCCCAGAUGGCCGUCGCUGCCUGGGGGGUGAUCUGACACAUCGACUCUGUAACUGAACGCUUGGUCGUGAAGGAGUCCCCGGUGACAAGGAACCUGGACACAAUUGUUCAAAAUUAGUAUUAUGUGUACUGCAGUUACAAAAUACAUUAUUCAAAUUCCAAAAUACUUUUGUGAUGUCAGAUUUAAAUCACAAAACUUAAAUCUUACAUAAAACAUUUUGUAAUUAUAAGGAUAAUUACAAAAUGUAUAUUAGAUAAUAUCUAAAACAGCUGUGUUUUGUUUUAACUUUAACAUAUCAUAAUUUGAUUGGUAGCAACUUUUACAACUACAGUGAGCCAAUCACUCAUAAUUCCUAAACAUGUCAAUCAGGUAGGAAUGAAGUGAGACAUUAAUAGAAAUAAAGAGUUGUAUGUUGACAUGUAGCCCUUUCCUUGCUUAAAUCAUUAAUAUUUUUGAAAAAUUAAUCUGUGAUAAGACAGCUUAUCAAGAUAGAACCAUGUAACUAGAGAUGAACCAAACUGUUCAGUUUUAUCUAACUCUGUUUUAAUAAAGGCUGGUGACCCCUGUUA